rnacentral:rRNA from 1 species
GAUGAACGCUAGCGGCAGGCUUAACACAUGCAAGUCGAGGGGUAUUGGUUUUCGGACCAAGAGACCGGCGCACGGGUGCGUAACGCGUAUGCAAUCUACCUUUUGCAGAGGGAUAGCCCCAGAGAAAUUUGGAUUAAUACCUCAUAGUAUAGUACUUUGGCAUCAAGGAACUAUUAAAGUCACAACGGCAAAGAUGAGCAUGCGUCCCAUUAGCUAGUUGGUAAGGUAACGGCUUACCAAGGCUACGAUGGGUAGGGGUCCUGAGAGGGAGAUCCCCCCACACUGGUACUGAGACACGGACCAGACUCCUACGGGAGGCAGCAGUGAGGAAUAUUGGACAAUGGGCGCAAGCCUGAUCCAGCCAUGCCGGCGUGCAGGAUGACGGUCCUAUGGAUUGUAAACUGCUUUUAUACAGGAAGAAACACUCCGACGUGUCGGAGCUUGACGGUACUGUAAGAAUAGGAUCGGCUAACUCCGUGCCAGCGAGCCGG